GAUGAACGCUAGCGGCAGGCUUAACACAUGCAAGUCGAGGGGUAACAGGGAGGAGCUUGCUUUUCCGCUGACGACCGGCGCACGGGUGCGUAACGCGUAUAGAACCUACCUUUUACAGGGGAAUAGCCCAGAGAAAUUUGGAUUAAUGCCCCAUAGUAUUAUUGAAUGGCAUCAUUUAAUAAUUAAACAUUUAUGGGUAAAAGAUGGCUAUGCGUUCUAUUAGCUAGAUGGUAAGGUAACGGCUUACCAUGGCAACGAUAGAUAGGGGUCCUGAGAGGGAGAUCCCCCACACUGGUACUGAGACACGGACCAGACUCCUACGGGAGGCAGCAGUGAGGAAUAUUGGACAAUGGAGGCAACUCUGAUCCAGCCAUGCCGCGUGCAGGAAGACGGUCCUAUGGAUUGUAAACUGCUUUUAUAUAGGAAGAAACCUUUCCACGUGUGGAAAGCUGACGGUACUAUAAGAAUAAGCACCGGCUAACUCCGUGCCAGCAGCCGCGGUAAUACGGAGGGUGCAAGCGUUAUCCGGAAUCAUUGGGUUUAAAGGGUCCGUAGGCGGACUAAUAAGUCAGGGGUGAAAUCCAACAGCUUAACUGUUGAACUGCCUUUGAUACUGUUAGUCUUGAGUUAUAUGGAAGUAGAUAGAAUAUGUAGUGUAGCGGUGAAAUGCUUAGAGAUUACAUAGAAUACCGAUUGCGAAGGCAGUCUACUACGUAUAU
rnacentral:rRNA from 1 species